rnacentral:lncRNA from 1 species
CCGUUAUUCUUAUAUUUACCCUUAUGAGUUUCCAAAACCGAAUUAUGAAGACAAUAGUCAGGAUAGCAUUUUAUUUCACAUUUAAAUGAACAAUAACAGUAACUUACCUUCUUACCCACUUAUUAAUACCUCUGGGGGUCCAUAGAGAUCUUCUCAACGCGUGGACCCAAUAUCUCAUUUAUCAUUUAAUCAGUCAUCUCAUACUCCG